rnacentral:rRNA from 1 species
UGGGGAAUUUUGGACAAUGGGCGCAAGCCUGAUCCAGCCAUGCCGCGUGCAUGACGAAGGCCUUCGGGUUGUAAACUACUUUUGUCCGGAACGAAAACCCCAUCUCUAAUACCCAUGCGUCAUGACGGUGCCGGAAGAAUAAGCACCGGCUAACUACGUGCCAGCAGCCGCGGUAAUACGAAGGGUGCAAGCGUUACUCGGAAUUACUGGGCGUAAAGCGUGAGAAGGCGGUUUUGUAAGACAGAGGUGAAAUCCCCGGGCUCAACCUGGGAAUUGCAGUGGAUACUGGGGAGCUAGAGUACGGUAGAGGGUGGUGGAAUUCCCCGUGUAGCGGUGAAAUGCGUAGAGAUGGGGAGGAACACCGAUGGCGAAGGCAGCUACCUGGGCCAGUACUGACGCUGAGUCACGAAAGCGUGGGGAGCAAACA